AGCGAACGCUGGCGGCAGGCCUAACACAUGCAAGUCGAACGAUCCUUCGGGAUAGUGGCGGACGGGUGAGUAACACGUGGGAACGUGCCCUUUGGUUCGGAACAACUCAGGGAAACUUGAGCUAAUACCGAAUGUGCCCUUCGGGGGAAAGAUUUAUCGCCAUUGGAGCGGCCCGCGUCUGAUUAGCUAGUUGGUGAGGUAAUGGCUCACCAAGGCGACGAUCAGUAGCUGGUCUGAGAGGAUGAUCAGCCACACUGGGACUGAGACACGGCCCAGACUCCUACGGGAGGCAGCAGUGGGGAAUCUUGCGCAAUGGGCGAAAGCCUGACGCAGCCAUGCCGCGUGAAUGAUGAAGGUCUUAGGAUUGUAAAAUUCUUUCACCGGGGACGAUAAUGACGGUACCCGGAGAAGAAGCUCCGGCUAACUUCGUGCCAGCCGCCGCCGUAAUAC
rnacentral:rRNA from 1 species